rnacentral:rRNA from 1 species
GAUGAACGCUGGCGGCGUGCAUAAUACAUGCAAGUCGAGCGAACAGACGAGGAGCUUGCUCCUCUGACGUUAGCGGCGGACGGGUGAGUAACACGUGGAUAACCUACCUAUAAGACUGGGAUAACUUCGGGAAACCGGAGCUAAUACCGGAUAAUAUAUUGAACCGCAUGGUUCAAUAGUGAAAGACGGUUUUGCUGUCACUUAUAGAUGGAUCCGCGCCGCAUUAGCUAGUUGGUAAGGUAACGGCUUACCAAGGCAACGAUGCGUAGCCGACCUGAGAGGGUGAUCGGCCACACUGGAACUGAGACACGGUCCAGACUCCUACGGGAGGCAGCAGUAGGGAAUCUUCCGCAAUGGGCGAAAGCUUGACGGAGCAACGCCGCGUGAGUGAUGAAGGUCUUCGGAUCGUAAAACUCUGUUAUUAGGGAAGAACAAAUGUGUAAGUAACUAUGCACGUCUUGACGGUACCUAAUCAGAAAGCCACGGCUAACUACGUG